rnacentral:lncRNA from 1 species
CCUGGAUGGAGCCCUUGGACCUAUGCUAUAGUUCUGUCAGCCCUGUCACUGACCCUUUCUGCCUUAGCUCGAGAUGGAAUCCUCUAGGUGGACCCUGGCCCUGGCUCAUCUCCUUACCCUUUUGGGGCCAUCAAUCAACUUCUGUUACUUUCUGAGCCUACUCACUAUGCUUGGCUCCUAGAGGAUGAUGCCUGUUGUUGAGAACAUGGCCAAGGCUGGGGUCACCCUUGGUGCCCAGUUCCCCAUCUCCAAGUGAGCAGCUGGCCCGUCUGUUAUCCCAACACCCUCCAUUGGAACUGGAGGUGACAGAAGCUCCUCGCAAUUUUAAUAUGGGCUCUUUGAAACUCUCUGCAGGCCUCAUGGUCAGAGGGAUAUGUUUAGGGCCCUCCACAGUGAACCUGAAGACAAGGAUAUCAGAAGACAAAUAGACCUCCAGGUUUUCUAGGGAAAGGACAGCUCCACAAUGAGGUUAUGGACAGCUUUGGAAAGUACAACACAGAAGUUCUACUGAAGUUGUCCCCCUUUCGAUCAACGUGGGGUUUUCCCCACCCCACACUUUCUAGCUCUUCCAAGCAUGGAAACUGGGAAACAAUGGAAAAAAUGAGGCAGCCUGCCCUCUCAGAAGACAUUUUGUAAUGUCACUCUGCUUGCCUGCUCACAGCCCGCAGGUGAUGUUGAUCGUGUUUACAGGAAAUGCCGUGAGUAAUUUGCAAAGUGAAAGCAGCUUACACUGGGUGAGGGCCUGUCUGAUGGAACAGAGCCAUGCUGCGUUUCUGGGCUCAUGGGCUGGAGAGGAGCAGCCUGGGAGGAGGUUGUGUAACAAUUCUUCCAAUACUGGUGUAUUGGAAGGACAGCUUGAGGCCAAUGUGACUCUGUCAAAAGGCCUUGCUUAGCAUUGCCACCUUCCUGGAGGAGGCAAAUUCUAGACCCUUUUACACCUCAUCCUUUUUGCCCUCACUCUCUUGUAUAAUCUUGAAUCCAAGAUGCAGCACAGCCUCAGCCCAACAGAACAUACAAGUUAUCUCCUGAAGGACUUGAGGCACCUCUGUCUCUCUCUUCUGGAUGUGGCUCUGGGCAGCCUGGUCUGGUGGUUGGCGACCCUGCACAUAGCAGGGGGGUUGAAACUACAUGAUCAUUGUGGUCCUUUUCAACCCAGGCCAUUCUAUGAUUCUAUGAUUCUCCCUACAUCCUUCUCCUUCCCCCAGUGUAACACUCUACUAACUGCACUCUCCAGACACAAUCUGGAAAGCAUAAGCACCACAGUGCAGAAAAGGCUUGUGCAUCCUUUGCAGAUGCCUACAGCUCCUGGAGACAGCAUGUGGCUGCUGAGCUCCCCAGGUAGUCCUGCUCAUGGCUCGGUGCAAUUCCUGAGUGUGCUGGGAGACCUCCUCCCUUCCCAUGUUUCCUUGAAAUCCUCUACUUCUCAGUCAGAGUGCAAAUCUGGGUUAUAUCAUGUAAUUUCUUCCCAGUAAAUGCUGGUCUCUCCACUCACUCUUUGCAUCACCCACUGUCUGCUGUGGUUCCCAGGCUGGUUGUGUUUUUUUUCCCAGCCUGUGAAGGUCUGACGAUGCUAGUGAAAUUACACAAGGCACAAAUGAGGAGAAUGGAGUAGAAGCCCAAAGAUGUGCCUCCUAGCAGGAUUUAUCUGGGGAGCUCCUUCCCUGUCCGCAGGUUCCUUAGGAUGUGUCUCAAUGGGCAGGUGAGGGCAGACCCAAAUUAAUUGCACCCACACCACAUCACUCAGGUGCAAGGCACUUCUAGCCCAGAAGCUGUGUGACUCUGCAGGCAGCACUGUGCCAACAUGGGGCAAAACCUGCAGUUUGGCUCAAUACCCACCUGGCGUUGGAUGCAAACAAACCUGUGAGUCCUACACCAAGUCUACAUCUUGGCCUGCCUUCUUCAGUUCACUCCGUUGGUACAGCUGGGCUCUCAGUGAACCAGAAAGUGUGAGGUUUGCCAGAACUGAAGAGCGUGUGAAUGGGUUUGUGAAGGUGAGGGAAAAACGUGUAUUUUUUUUUUUAAACCUGAAAAACUAGCUUACCUGUGCAUCAUAAUAGGGAUUUUGGAAUUGAGACUAUUGUAAUGGUUGUGGGCUAGAGUCAUUAGAGCAGUGCUGUGCUACUGGGACACUUAUAGGCUACCUCCACACUUACCAUUGCUCAGAAGACAGACAUUCUCUUCUCCCUUUAGCUAAGCCUGCCUGAACUGGAGGGCUUUUGCAUGACUGUGAAGGAAAGAGCUUAAUUCUUCUUUAUGACCUGCUUCAAAUAAAGCUACAGCAACCAAAUGGACCGUGCUGUGUGAAACCCAACAUCAUGCUCGUGUGAGUCAAAUAUCCCCCUCUGGUGCUGGAGAGUUCAGCUAAAGAGCAAACAACGGUAAACACCAGCAGCUGAAAGUGGGUGUUCUUUUGCUUUCUUCAUGGCAACAGCCCAGCAGACUGACGGAGAUCAAAAAUUACCUUAUCACCUGGAGGUCUGCAGAGAAGCCAAGAGAUGUUGAAACCUCCCACCACCUCCAACAUCAAAGGCUGCAGCAGGUAUCUUUCCAGGUGCUUUUUCACAGCCAGCCUCAGUGAAAGCUCCCAUUCAAAAGGCAGUAACUCGGGAACAUUAGGUGUAGCUUCUGGUGGCUGAACCGGUUAAAGUUACCCUUCAAUGUCACCAGAAUAGCACACUAAAAGGGGAAAUUCAAGGAGGAAAACAAAAAGAGUCCUACCUAGGGGAUUGGCUGCUUUACAGGGGCUGGUAAUGAGAUCAUACUGCCAUGAUUCAAGGUCACAAAUUUGACUUUAGAUAAGGUGUAGCAACAGCCUCAAUCUGUAAUGGUGACUGUUCAGCAGCCUGUGUGACAUUAAUGGGUAGUCUCUUGUAGCCUUUUAAUUUAACAAGGUGAUUGCUAUAAGUUUUGUAAAAAAAUACCUCCAAACACAACUACUAAAAUGAGCUGGCGUGUGAUAGUGAACAACAAAGUUCACUGAAGCCUUUUGUACUGAUGCAUUGAAUGAUGAUGUAUUCACACCACUUUGCUGUUCUUUGUUAGAGCUUUAGGGCAGAGAUGUUAACAAAGGAUGUUCUGUAUAUUUGCAACAUAACAAAAUAAAAGAUUUUUUUUCCAGUAGGGCAUAACUACUAUCACAUAUGACUCUAACUUUAAAUGUGCCAUAAGGUAGCAGCACUGUCCAGAAGCUAGGCCUCUUCUACCUUUCAGCUUGCUGAGAACAACUUGUCUGAAAAGAUGCAGGCUGCUUUCUGCUCUGUACCUUUGUGCAGGGAGAAUUCAGAGUUCCUGGUGCAGUCCCAUCGUGCUGUGCUCGCCUCCUUUAGAGUUCACUGUAUUAAAGAUGAAGGUAUUGGUAACAUUCAAUUUCAGCUUUCAUAUAUAUAUAUUUUACCUAUUGUAAAAUACUUUCAGUACUGCUGUACUGCAGCAGCCUAUUCAUUUAUGUGCUUUUAGGCACCUUUGGGUAACAGAAAUUACACCUAUCAGCAACAAUGGAAUGACAGACCAAAAACAAACCUAUCAAAUCUCUCAUUUCUGUAAAAGCAGGGCGAAAAAAGACUGAAAAUGGUGCCCUCUGCUUUCUGGUGAUCUUAUGCAUUCAUCAACAAGGUGCCCCAAAUCCAUUCUUAACUACGGCUAUAAUCUCGUGUAACAAAGGUACCUCCUGGGUACUGGUGAGAGACUUGUAGGAUGUGUUUAUUAUGAUUAAAUCUCUGAUAAGUUAAUUUUGGUUCUGGCAAAUAUUCCUAUGAUUUGCUCUGGGCAAACAAAAAAGCCACUAUACUUUGUUGCUGUAGGUGCAGUCCUGAUGUCUCAUUCUGUGUAUAAAACAGAGAUUUUUGAAUAUUGGAGAAUCUGCAGCCCAAAAAAGCCUGCUGGGGAGCAGAAGACACACUGGUAGGUGACAAAAACAGAGUUCACUGACUGCAGUUUGCAAAAUGCCAUAGGUUAUUUCUGUUUAUUGCCUGGGAUUGUACAAGAAGAUCAGAAUUUAAGCUUGGACGUUCUUGGAUAUUUUCCCCGUGAGAUUUGCGUCUGCACAGAGAGAAUGUUAUAAUAUGCUUUCUUCUCCUUGGAGAAGGGAUGAUAUCCCCUUGGCAACAUGAGUGAUCACUUAAAUGGAACAAUAACAUUAAGCAAGUGUUUGCAGAUGCCCUUCAGGGUGCUUUAGCAUCUGGAAACAAGAGAAGGAGUGGUAAGCAUUAUAUGGGUAAGCGAUUAGGAAG